AAAAGAGGACAGGUAAUUGAGUGACCUUUUUUUCCGCUUUCAGAUACCUGGCCAAUGAGAUGAAGUUGUACCACUUCCAUCAGUCCAGACAUUUGUCAAAGAAGUGCAGUUUAUAAAUGACCAAGUGGAUGAAGCAGCCACACUCUCACUGGUCCAGAUAUUCCUCAAAGAAGAGGAAGGUGCGUAUUGUAAGGCAGAAGAGCCUGUGCUGGUCUCACUUGUCCCAGUGCUUCUCAAAGAAGAACAUGUGCUUGAUGAAUCGCUGGAGGACUUUGAAGUUGGCAGUCACCCAUUGCUAAUAAAUCUGGUG